UCAUUGAUCCAUGUUUGCAGGUACUCGAUGUUUUUUCUUAAUCCAAGCACAUACAGUAUUCAUUAUAUUAAAACAAUUAAUGUAUGAAAAGAGAAAACAAUGUCUUACCAAUGCAAAGUUUGCAGGUAUAUGUGCACAAACCAGCUGUUAGUGUAUCUCUAACAAAACUAAUCCACCCUCUUCCUCUUUCAGUGUACAGGACUUGCUGAUGUUGCUAAGAUACAGAAAAAUGAGCUUGCUUUCCAAGUUUGAAACUUGGGACAGAGGCGACUGCCUUAGGGGUCGUGUUUAAGUAGAAAUACAACAUGAUAAUUAACUAUUAAUUAGUGUUACCAACUGCUUUAUUCUGGUCAGGGUUGCAGUGGGUCUGGUGCCACCUGGAAUCACCAGGUUCAAGGCAAGAAUACACCCUUGAAAGGGUGCCAGUUCAUCACAUGGCACCAGUUUAUCACGAGGCAUCACUCACACAGCAACCAGUCCUGGUACUUGAACAGUUGAAGAUCAGUUUGAGUAUCAAACCUAAGUUCCCAGGAUUCGAAUUCUAUACUGCACCAACACACCAACUGCUAAUUAUUGAAUAAAGCAAAGAGAGUGGCAUGAGAACAGGGACAGAAGUAUUACAGCACAUUAAUGCAAAUAUUCAUGGGGAUGAGGACAAAGAUAUUCCCAUGGUAACAGAGAAUAGAGCACUACAGAGACAACCUCUGAACCCACUAGAACCUUGACCAGAAUGAAGUGGUUACUAAAGAUGAUGAUAAAUGAAUGAAUCAUCUUUUGAGUCAAUAGGAAGCAUGUUCCUCUGUCCACAUCUCACUCAGCUAAUGAGAAGGUGACUUGCGUUUGCUUGCUGGUGGGGAGUUCAGGAGCCGACUGCGCCUCUGUUAGUCAUGGCUUGUUUGAACGCUGCAAGGCUAGACAGCCUAAAACUUGAAAGAGCUGAUGAAAUUUGGCAGAGUGUAAUGACCAAGGCCAGGUGAAGGUGGACUACAGCCUGGAAGCUGGCUGCUCGUACAUAUCCUCUCGAUGGGCCCGCUAUGAAUCCCCUGAAUACAAUAGUCUGAUAACAGUCAGAACAUCUGAGCCCAGAAGAAUGAGUUUGCUCUCGCAGUUUGGAUUUUCACUCACACACCACCCAGUGAUGUCUGCGUUGAGCUCAGCGCUGAACUUGUCUCGCAGUCACAAGGUGCAGCAUUCUUCACUCUGCUACCACUGAUCGAUGAGGACGGCUGAGUGGAUGCUCUGAACACAGGAGUCAAGAUUGAGCAAUGAAAAAUAAAUAAUAAUAAAAAAAAGUUAAUUA